rnacentral:lncRNA from 1 species
AAAUGUUUUGUGCAUGUCACACUGUAUAGACGAGAUCAAGGAUCCACUGCAUCGAUGUGCCUAACUCCCCCCUCAUGGAGUCACAGCAGAGCCAGGAGGAUGAAAUUCGCCUCUUCUAGCUCCACAUGGAUUCAAGCAGAGGAGGAGGAAGUCUCCAAAGAUCUCCUCUGUCCCUGUUUCUGGAUCCAACCCAUGCCAUCUCCACUAACACAGCAGGCCAAUGAUUUUCAAGCCCAGUUAUUCCUAACUCCUUUCAUCUAGGCCCAGAGGUCUUUUCUUUGCCAAAAAUCUACCCAAAGCAUUUUGAGCUCUGGAUGGUAGAAUCUCACUAAGGAGGGUUGGAAGAAAGACACUGAAAAUUGUGAUUCAGAUACCUGAUGGGCUUACACUUCUGGGGACCUCUGUGUGAUGGGGUACAAUGUUCUAUUGGCAGGAAGUGGAAGCUAAGAGAAGUGGAGUCUACCCAACAUUCAGCACAUCUGUCCCCAAGCCCAAGUUCAGCAAGGUGAAGAACUGGAAAUUCCAUGGUAUGAAGACAGACAAAGGAAGAGAUUCAGUAUCAGGUCACUGGGAUAGGAGGUUUGCCAAAAGAGGAUGGAGCAAAGGAAAGAGCAAACUCAUAGUGAGGAGACAAAGGCAGGGGAGAGGGAGGAAGCUAUCGUUGUUUGGAAAAUACCUUGUAAACAUACUUGGGACAUGACAUCAGCAGGAGGCAAGAUCUCAGGGAAGAAAGACGACAAACUAUUCUGGUUGAGAACAGAAGAGGGUCAUGGGCAAAUUUUUCUCUUUCUUCCUGAAUGAGAGGAGGAGAGGAAUCAUCGCUGUGUGGAGAGAUGGGAACUAACCUCAACCAACCCGGCUGGACUCUCAGUCUGAUUCCUGUUCCCCCAGAUGGGCCAGCAAGGCAGCAUGCUACACACUUGCCCUGAUUUGAUUUGGUUAACUUUAUUUCAUUUGAUUGACUCUCACAUUUCUUUCUCAUUUUCACUCCAAGUUUCUGGUCUUUUUUUUUUACCAGUCUUAAGUCUCCAAGUUUAAGGGAGAGAAAACAACCAGGCACUAGGAGAUGAUCUCCAGGGUCAGAAUAACUGCCUUGACUUGGUUGGUAGUGGCUGGAGAGGAAGGCGCCUCUGUUGGAGUAAAGACUAAGGGAACGGAUGCUUUUUCCAAUUUAUAUAACUUACUUUUUGAGAAUAAAAUUUAUUCACUUUUUUAUAGCCA